UACGUAGGGGGGCGAGCGUUGUCCGGAGUACUGGGCGUAAAGCGCACGCAGGCGGUCUGCUAAGUUUGGAGUGACAGUUGGUGGCUUAACUGCCAAAGUGCUUCGAAAACUGACAGACUUGAGGGCUUCAGAGGGACACGGAAUUCCGAGUGUAGAGGUGAAAUUCGUAGAUAUUCGGAAGAACACCAGUGGCGAAGGCGACUUACUGGACACAUAUUGACGCUGAGGUGCGAAAGCGUGGGGAGCAAACAGG
rnacentral:rRNA from 1 species